rnacentral:sRNA from 1 species
AUAAACUCUUGGCAAGCGGCUGCAUUGUCAGCAUGCUUGCAUGCAUGACGAUGCAGACAUUUGACAAGGUAACGGAAACGAAACAUGCAGCACGAUAGUGCGGAAUGUGAGUUUUCGUAGAAGUGCGGGAGAGUGAAGCUCGGAGCACUUCGUUAGUUUAU